GUACAUAUGAUCUGUGUGAAGACUGGUCAGCUGGUAUUGGUUGGGUGGAAAGGUCAGUGUUCAGAAGGGUUCUGAGGUCCUCUCUGAGCACACUGGAAAAGAUGAAGCUAAUGCCUGCUAAACGUUGCUAUCUCAGAGACAUGAGGAAGAUCCUGGCUCUGUGAAGAGUGAGACAACAUGUCAGCAAUCAGGGGAAGGUCCUAGUGAUCAAAUUUAGUUCCCUCAUUACUCAGAUGGUGAAAUGGAACUUGCAAGAAAUUAAAUAAUUUGUCAAGGUCAUACAAGUAGCUGUUGGCAGAGGAUGGGGAAACUGAGGCCCAACAGAUGGCCGAGCCUGGGGUUAGUUACGUGAGGCACUGAGGAACUGCAAAGAGGAGACCUUUGCAGGAGACUGCGUCUGGAGCCAGUUAGCCCCGCCAAAAGCUUUCAGAAAUUACAAGGCCACAAAAAUGCUUUUUGGCUUGAAGCAUCCAAAUGGGCCCCACCCAUCUUGCUUAGAGUCGGGCCUCCUUCUUCUCACUACUGGACCCUGUGUUGCCAGCCUGGGCUGGACUUGAAAAUGAAAGAGGCCCAGGAGAUGAGAGCCUUUCCUGGGGGUUGGGAACAGGCUUGGAAAUUGUUGCACAGGGGAAUUAAGUGACUUGCUCAAGGUGAUGCAGCCAGGAAGCAGCAGAGCUGGAACUGGACUCCAGGUACACGUGAUUCUGAGUCAGAGGCCCUGUCCUCCCGCUUGUGUUCACUCAGGAGGGGCUGAGGCUGUGUGGGCAAGCCAUGGUCACAAGGAACUUUCCUGGGCCUCAGUCGCAAGAAAAGAGGCAAAUGCCUAAGGAAAGAGCACAAUUCCUGGAAAUAUUAAGCGUGUGAAGAUUUUGUGUGGCCAGGAGCGUGAUGUAUAUAUACAAGGGCAGGGAGGAAGGAGACAUGUGGGAAAAGGACAUGUAUUUUUGUUUAUUGCACUGAAAAGAAGCCAAAAUGAUGAAUUCAUGCUUCUGAUAUUUUCAUUUCUUUUGGUGGACAUUUCUUUUGCUUCCAUGACGAUAAAACAAUUUAUGAAGGUAAGUGACGUGUCAACGCUUUUCAUCAUAGUGCCAAUAAAGAACACCUAGUGGAUUAUCUUUCCUUGGAUGUCUUUAAAAGAGGCUUUUCUCAUGGUGGGGCAAUACUAGUUGUUCAGUAAAUGAUGA